AAAGAGGGGGAGAGAAAUGGAAAUGGGUGGUGAUGGGGAGGAUACUAAGGGAAGGGAAUGGGGAUGGGGGAGGAAGAGGGAGGGGAGAUAUAUUUCAAUGGGUGGAGAUGGGGAGGAUACCAAGGGAAGGGAAUGGGGGAGGAAAGGAGGGGAGAGAAAUUAAUACUUAGGGAAGGGAAUGGAGGAUGGGGGAGGGAAAGGGAGGGGAGGAAAGGAGGGGAGAGAAAGGAAUAGUAAGGGAAGGGAAUGGAGGAUGGGGGAGGGAGAGGGAGGGGAGGAGAGGAGGGGAGAGAAAGGAAGAGUAAGGGAAGGGAAUGGGGAGGGGGGAGGAAGAAGGAGGGGAAGGGAAGACCGGACAGACUGUUUAUUUUCUUAUUAUUCUCUAUAUUUAGGUUGACAACUGCAAACAAGUGUCAACCAGCCAACCAGUCAACCAGUCAGUAAUCAAUCUAAUCAACCAACUAGCUAACCAACACAUCAGUCAGCCAGUCAGUAAUCUAUUUAAUCAACCAACUAGCUAACCAACACAUCAGUCAGUCAGCCAGUCAGUCCACCAGUCCGUAAUCUACCCCUUCAGCCAGCCAGCCCAUUUAGCCCUAGACCAGCCCAGCCCCAAGUCAGCCCAUGUCAUUGUGGGUGAGGGAGUACAAUAGAUAGACUCACAUUCUCAGAUAUUUUGGACUCACACACACUUGGUAAGGCUUUCAUAGAGGUUGUGUUAGUAUGUCCAUGGGUAGUGUUACGAGCCUGGUGAUAGUUUGACAAGGCUUUGGUGGAGGUUGUUGUGUUAGUAUGUCCAUGGGUAGUGUUACGAGCCUGGUGAUAGUUUGACAAGGCUUUGGUGGAGGUUGUUGUGUUAGUAUGUCCAUGGGGAGUGUUACGAGCCUGGUGAUAGUUUGACAAGGCUUUCAUAGAGGUUGUUGUGUUAGUAUGUCCAUGGGUAGUGUUACGAGCCUAGAGAUAGCUUGACAGGGCCUCCGCUGAACCCAUGAAAAACACACUCACAAGAACUCAACUCAUCAACUUGUCAUAGCCUUUCUAAAUAAUGUCGCAGGAGUCGAAAGCAUCUGAGAACGUGGGCCUACAAAGACACACUGAUACACAGAUAUAAACCUAUAAAAAAUAUCACAGAAAUCACAAAUACUGUACUUGGUCGCGGCGGGGAUGUGGACAUAGGCGGGUGUGGGAUUACAGGUGUGGAGUGGGCUAAAAAUCAAGUUAUACAGGAGCUUUUUACAGACAUACGGAGGGCGGUUAGCGGAGGUUUCGAGAGGUUAGGAUUGCGAGGGUAAUACAAAUGAUAAAAUACGGUUGCGGUGGGUGUGUGGGGUUGCAGGUUUGGGGUUACAGGUGUGGGGUGGGCUAAAAAUCAAGGUAUACAGGAGCUUUUUACAGAUAUAGGGGUAGUUUCACCAAGUUUAGGGUCACAAGGGUAAUAUAAAUGAUAAGAUAUGGUCGUGGCAGGCGUGGAAUUACAGGUGUGGGGUGGGCUAAAAAUCAAGUUAUAUAGGAGCUUUUUACAGACAUGCAGGGGCGAUUAGCGGAGGUUUUGAGACGUUAGGGGUCGCAAGGGUAACACAAAUGAUAAUAUAUGGUCGCGGUGGGUGUGUGGGGUUGCAGGUGUGGGGUUACAGGUGUGGGGUGGGCUAAAAAUCAAGUUAUACAGGAGCUGUUUACAGACAUAGGGGGCGGUUAGGGGUAGUUCCGGCAAGUUUAAGGUCACGAGGGCAAUGUAAAUGAUAAGACAUGGUCGCGGUGGGUGUGUGGGGUUACAGGUGUGGAGUUACAGGUGUGGGGUUACAGGUGUGGGGUGGGGUAAAAAUCAAGAUAUACAGGAGCUUUUUACAGACAUACGGAGGGCGGUUAGCGGAGGUUUCGAGAGGUUAGGAUUGCGAGGGUAAUACAAAUGAUAAAAUACGGUUGCGGUGGGUGUGUGGGGUUGCAGGUUUGGGGUUACAGGUGUGGGGUUACAGGUGUGGGGUGGGCUAAAAAUCAAGGUAUACAGGAGCUUUUUACAGACAUAUGGAGGGCGGUUAGCGGUACUUCCAGCAGGGUAAGGAGCGCAAGGGUAAUACAAACAACAAUAUACAUAACAUUAGCAAACUUAAGUGGCUAUUUUUAUAUAUAUCUAUGUGUGGUUUGUAUAUAAGUAUGUAUGCACGUAUGGUAAAGAAGGAGGACUUAGAGGAUAAUGAUAAUAAGCGAUAAUUAUACAUACAUACAUUCAUACGCUUAUUUUUUUUUGUUUCGUUCUUACUCGGUAAAACUUAAAACUUACUUAUGUGAUGCUUAUAAGACGUAUUGUAAGGGUUCGUGAUUUUUCGUUUGUUUGUUUGUUUGUUAAAGUGAGCAGAGACGACACUUAGUCUCUUCUCUAAACUUACGCUAACUUAUUUUUUUUCUUUCUCUUUCUUUCUCGCUCGCUCACUCACUUUCUCUCUCUCUCUCUCUCUCUUUCUUGACAACGCUUACUUUCAUCACUUCUCUAAACUUAUGCUAACUCUCUCUCUCUCUCUUGCUCGCUCGCUCGCUCACUUUCUCUCUCGCUCCCUCUCUCUAUUUCUCAAUCGCUACGCUCUAUAUUUUAUUUCAACAAUAUAAAUCCAUUUUUUUUUUGGUAAUUAAAAUCUUAUUGUAUUUAAUAUGAUGAGGAAUUUAAAUAUUUUCCUUCGAUUCUUUUUUUAUUCUAAUACGUAAAAAAACACAAACAGUCGAACCUCUCUCUCUCUCUCUCUCUCUCUCUCUCUCUCUGAAUAUAAAAAUGAAAAAUAUAUUGUCAAGGUCGGGGAUUCUAAAAUUAGUAUGCUUCUUAAGAUUCUAAAGUGACCGGCAACAGCGAGCACUAUAGAUUGUGUGCGUGUGUGUGUGUGUGUGUGUGUGUGUUUUAGUUUCUCAUGUUAUAUUUUUCUUUAUUUUCAUUUCUUUUCCUGUCAUAUUUCUCCACUUCAUCUCUUCCCUCCACUCCUUUUUUACUCCACCUUCCACAUCACUGACCAACUCCACAUUCAUUUAACCCGGUAGCAGCGAUGGGCCAAAUUUGUGGCUUCACCGUGUACCAGUGACGGGCCAAAUUUGUGGCUUUACCGUGUACCAGUGACGGGCCAAAUUUGUGGCUUUACCGUGUACCAGUGACGGGCCAAAUUUGUGGCUACCGGGUUAAAGUUCAGAUACAAAUGAACCAAAAUAGAAAAGUAAUAAUGAGAAAGACUAAAUAAAUGCAAAUACAGCUGAAAUAAAUUGAAAAAUGUAUAAAUGCUAGAAUGAAUAAUGAUGAUAAUGAUAAUGAUAACAAUAAACUCCAGCACCAAGACAAGUUCAUAAAUGCUUGAAGGGUUAUGUGUGUGUGUGUGUGUAUGUGUGUGUGUGUGUGUGUAAUAGUGGUUAAUCAAAGUAAAAAAAACAAA